GAUGAACGCUGGCGGCGUGCCUAAUACAUGCAAGUCGAGCGAACGGACGAGAAGCUUGCUUUUCUGAUGUUAGCGGCGGACGGGUGAGUAACACGUGGAUAACCUACCUAUAAGACUGGGAUAACUUCGGGAAACCGGAGCUAAUACCGGAUAAUAUUUUGAACCGCAUGGUUCAAAAGUGAAAGACGGUCUUGCUGUCACUUAUAGAUGGAUCCGCGCUGCAUUAGCUAGUUGGUAAGGUAACGGCUUACCAAGGCAACGAUGCAUAGCCGACCUGAGAGGGUGAUCGGCCACACUGGAACUGAGACACGGUCCAGACUCCUACGGGAGGCAGCAGUAGGGAAUCUUCAGCAAUGGGCGAAAGACUGACGGAGCAACGCCGCGUGAGUGAUGAAGGUCUUCGGAUCGUAAAACUCUGUUAUUAGGGAAGAACAUAUGUGUAAGUAACUGUGCACAUCUUGACGGUACCUAAUCAGAAAGCCACGGCUAACUACGUG
rnacentral:rRNA from 1 species